UCAAUAUAAAUUGAUUUAGGAUUAAUUUAUUAAUUUUGUUAUUUUUUAAAAUGAAUUAUUAAAAAUAUUUAUAAUAAUUAGAGUUUAAGUAAUUUAUGAUGAAUAAAUAAUAUUAAUUAUAAUAAAUUAGUAUUGUGAAAGAAAAUUGAAAUAUUUUGAAAAAUUUUUAUUUUUAUAGAAAUUUUAAUUUAAUGUACCUUGUGUAUCAGGGUUGAUCAAAUAAAAAAUAAAAAUAUUUAUUUUUCUCGAUUUUAAAAGAGUUAAUAAAUUAUAAAAUUUAAUGUGACAAAAUUAUUUUAAAUAAUUUAUUAGAAAUGAAAUGUUAUUCGUUUUUAAAGGUAUCUAGUUUUUUUAGAAAUAAAUUUAAUUUAUAAAUUAUAAAUUUAUUUAUUUAAUUAUUUUAAUUAAAUAAAUUUUUAAUUUAAAUAUUUUAUGGGAUAAGCUGUAAAAUAAAUUAUUAAAAAUGAUAAAUAAUUUAAUUAAAAUGUAUAUUUAAAAUUAGUAAUCAUUUGUAAGUUUGUUAUAAAUUAUUUUUAUACUUAAAUUAUUUAUUUAAUUUUAAUUAUUUAUAAAAAUGUUUAUUUUAAUUUGAUAAAUUAAGCAAUAAUGAUUAAAUUAGUAUAUUAUAAUGUUAAAAUAAUUUUAUAUGUAAGGUUUAUAUAAAGAAUUCGGCAAAAUUGUAUACUCGCCUGUUUAACAAAAACAUGUCUUUUUUGUAAUUUUUAAAAAGUCUAACCUGCCCACUGAAUAAUUUAAAUGGCCGCAGUAUAUUAACUGUGCAAAGGUAGCAUAAUCAUUAGUCUUUUAAUUGAAGGCUGGUAUGAAUGGUUGGACGAGGUAUAAACUGUUUCAUAUAAAUUAUAUAUAGAAUUUUAUUUUUUAGUCAAAAAGCUAAAAUAAAUUUAAAAGACGAGAAGACCCUAUAAAUCUUUAUAUUUUGUUUAAUUUUAAUUAUUUAGAUAUUUUUUGUUAUAAUUUUAUAAAAUAUUUUGUUGGGGUGAUAUUAAAAUUUAAUAAACUUUUAAUUUAUUAAGACAUUAAUUUAUGUUUAAUUGAUCCAUUAAUAAUGAUUAAAAAUUUAAGUUACUUUAGGGAUAACAGCGUAAUUUUUUUGGAGAGUUCAUAUCGAUAAAAAAGAUUGCGACCUCGAUGUUGGAUUAAGAUAUAAUUUUAGGUGUAGCCGCUUAAAUUUAAAGUCUGUUCGACUUUUAAAUUCUUACAUGAUCUGAGUUCAAACCGGUG
rnacentral:rRNA from 1 species